rfam:Aedes albopictus isolate Foshan contig83096, whole genome shotgun sequence.
UGGCCUACUGGUUAAGGCUAUGGAUCACCAAUCCAGAGACGGCGGGUUCGAUUCCCGU